AAUGAACGCUGGCGGCAUGCCUAACACAUGCCAGUCGAGCGGAUGAACGGAGCUUGUUCCUGGAUUCAGCGGCGGACGGGCGAGUAAUGCCCACGUAUAUGCCUGGUCGAGGGGGAUAACGUCAGGUAACGGGCGCUAAUAUCGCAUACGUCCUGAGGUAGAACGUGGGGGAUCUUCGGACAUCACGCUAUCAGAUGAGCCUAGGUCGGAUUAGCUAGUUGGUGGGGUAACGGCCUACCAAGGCGACGAUCCGUAACUGAUCUGAGAGGGUGAUCAGUCACACUGGAACUGAGACACGGUCCAGACUCCUACGGGAGGCAGCAGUGGGGAAUAUUGGGCAAUGGGCGAAAGCCUGAUCCAGCAAUGCCGCGUGUGUGAAGAAGGUCUUCGGAUUGUAAAGCUCUGUAAGUAGGGAGGAAGGACAGUGUGUGAAUACCUGGAUGUUUUGACGGUACCAAAAGAAUAAGCACCGGCUAACUUCGUG
rnacentral:rRNA from 1 species